UACGUAGGGUGCAAGCGUUGUCCGGAAUUAUUGGGCGUAAAGAGCUUGUAGGCGGUUUGUCGCGUCUGCUGUGAAAUUUCGGGGCUCAACCCCGAACUUGCAGUGGGUACGGGCAGACUAGAGUGUGGUAGGGGAGACUGGAAUUCCUGGUGUAGCGGUGAAAUGCGCAGAUAUCAGGAGGAACACCGAUGGCGAAGGCAGGUCUCUGGCCGAUACUGACGCUGAGGAGCGAAGCGUGGGGAGCGAACAGG
rnacentral:rRNA from 1 species